rnacentral:misc_RNA from 1 species
GAAAUGCGAUAAGUAAUGUGAAUUGCAGAAUUCAGUGAAUCAUCGAAUCUUUGAACGCACCUUGCGCACCUUGGUAUUCCUUGGAGCAUGCCUGUUUGAGUAUCAUGAAAUCUUCAAAGUAAAUCUUUUGUUAACUCAAUUGGUUUCUACUUUGGUAUUGGAGGUCUUUGCAGCUUCACACCUGCUCCUCUUUGUUCAUUAGCUGGAUCUCAGUGUUAUGCUUGGUUCCACUCGGCGUGAUAAGUUAUCUAUCGCUGAGGACACUGUAAAAGGUGGCCAAGGUAAAUGCAGAUGAACCGCUUCUAAUAGUCCAUUGACUUGGACAAUACUUUUAUGAUCUGAUCUCAAAUCAGGUAGGACUACCCGCUGAACUUAAGC